rnacentral:rRNA from 1 species
AAGAGGUCCAGCCUGCCCAGUGAAAUUAUUCAACGGCCGCGGUAUCCUAACCGUGCGAAGGUAGCGUAAUCACUUGUUCUUUAAAUGAGGACUAGUAUGAAUGGCACCACGAGGGUUCUACUGUCUCCUUUUUUUAAUCAGUGAAACUAAUCUCCCCGUGAAGAAGCGGGGAUCUUUAUAUAAGACGAGAAGACCCUAUGGAGCUUUAAACAACCAACAUUUGCUACACCAUAACAUUUUCCCUAAAAGAAGUAUAGCAUUAUGAUUAUUAGUUUUCGAUUGGGGUGAUCACGGAGUAAAAUAUAACCUCCAUGCCGAAAGGGUUCUUACCCUGAGCAAAAAGCCACAACUUUAAGCACUAAAAAAUUAACGCAGUUGACCCA